UACGGAGGGGGCAAGCGUUGUUCGGAAUCACUGGGUGUAAAGGGUGCGUAGGCGGUCUGCCAAGUCUGAUGUGAAAGCCCCCGGCUCAACUGGGGAAUGGCAUUGGAAACUGACAGGCUCAGAGUACCGGAGAGGAAAGCGGAAUUCCUGGUGUAGCGGUGAAAUGCGUAGAUACCAGGAGGAACACCGGUGGCGAAGGCGGCUUUCUGGCCGAGUACUGACGCUGAGGCACGAAAGCGUGGGGAGCAAACGGGAUUAGAAACCCCCGUAGUCC
rnacentral:rRNA from 1 species